rnacentral:rRNA from 1 species
UACGUAGGAUGCAAGCGUUAUCCGGAAUUAUUGGGCGUAAAGAGUUUGUAGGUGGCAAGUUAAGUUGAAUGUUAAAUCUCAGGGCUCAACUCUGGGGCUGCAUUCAAUACUGGCUAGCUCGAGGUAUGGAGAGGUAAGCGGAAUUAGUAGUGUAGCGGUGAAAUGCGUAGAUAUUACUAAGAACACCAAUGGCGAAGGCAGCUUACUGGCCAUAUCCUGACACUGAGAAACGAAAGCGUGGGGAGCGAACAGG